rnacentral:rRNA from 1 species
AGAGUUUGAUCCUGGCUCAGAUUGAACGCUGGCGGCAGGCUUAACACAUGCAAGUCGAGCGGUAACAGGAGAAGCUUGCUUCUCGCUGACGAGCGGCGGACGGGUGAGUAAUACUUAGGAAUCUACCUAGUAGUGGGGGAUAGCUCGGGGAAACUCGAAUUAAUACCGCAUACGACCUACGGGAGAAAGGGGGCAACUUGUUGCUCUCGCUAUUAGAUGAGCCUAAGUCGGAUUAGCUAGAUGGUGGGGUAAAGGCCUACCAUGGCGACGAUCUGUAGCUGGUCUGAGAGGAUGAUCAGCCACACCGGGACUGAGACACGGCCCGGACUCCUACGGGAGGCAGCAGUGGGGAAUAUUGGACAAUGGGGGCAACCCUGAUCCAGCCAUGCCGCGUGUGUGAAGAAGGCCUUUUGGUUGUAAAGCACUUUAAGCAGUGAAGAAGACUCCAUGGUUAAUACCCAUGGACGAUGACAUUAGCUGCAGAAUAAGCACCGGCUAACUCUGUGCCAGCAGCCGCGGUAAUACAGAGGGUGCAAGCGUUAAUCGGAAUUACUGGGCGUAAAGCGAGCGUAGGUGGCUUGAUAAGUCAGAUGUGAAAGCCCCGGGCUUAACCUGGGAACGGCAUCUGAUACUGUUAGGCUAGAGUAGGUGAGAGGAAGGUAGAAUUCCAGGUGUAGCGGUGAAAUGCGUAGAGAUCUGGAGGAAUACCGAUGGCGAAUGCAGCCUUCUGGCAUCAUACUGACACUGAGUUCGAAAGCGGUGGGUAGCAAACAGGAUUAGAUACCCUGGUAGUCCACGCCGUAACGAUGUCUACUAGUCGUUGGGUCCCUUGAGGACUUAGUGACGCAGCUAACGCA